rnacentral:snRNA from 1 species
AUACUUACCUGGCAGGGGAGAUACCAUGAUCACGAAGGUGGUUUUCCCAGGGCGAGGCUUAUCCAUUGCACUCCGGAUGUGCUGACCCCUGCGAUUUCCCCAAAUGUGGGAAACUUGACUGCAUAAUUUGUGGUAGUGGGGGACUGUGUUCGCGCUUUCCCCUA